rnacentral:rRNA from 1 species
UCAGGCCUAACACAUGCAAGUCGAGGGGUAGAAGGAGCUUGCUCCUUUGAGACCGGCGCACGGGUGCGUAACGCGUAUGCAAUCUACCUUUUACAGAGGGAUAGCCCAGAGAAAUUUGGAUUAAUACCCCAUAGUAUAUAUCAUUCGCAUGUUUGGUAUAUUAAAGUUCCAACGGUAAAAGAUGAGCAUGCGUCCCAUUAGUUAGUUGGUAAGGUAACGGCUUACCAAGACGAUGAUGGGUAGGGGUCCUGAGAGGGAGAUCCCCCACACUGGUGGUGAGACACGGACCAGACUCCUACGGGAGGCAGCAGUGAGGAAUAUUGGUCAAUGGACGCAAGUCUGUUCAAGGCAUGCCGCGUGCAGGAAGACGGUCCUAUGGAUUUAAAGGGCUUUUGUACGGGAAGAAACACUCCUACGUGUAGGAGC